UGUGCGUGUGUGUGUUUGUGUAUGUGUAUGUGUGUGUGCAUAUGUGUGUGUAUGUGCAUGUUCAUGCAGAU
rnacentral:precursor_RNA from 1 species